rnacentral:rRNA from 1 species
CCGUAGGUGAACCUGCGGAAGGAUCAUAGUUGUGGAUGAGGGAGCGCAGGUCGCUCCCGUUCAACCCAAUCUUCUUUGGACCGGCGUGGUUUGGAGCCUUGUGCACCCCCGUCGAUCAGCCAUACGUACUCUUGGUCAUCUGAACUUCAGUUGAUAUUUCAUAAAUACACAACUGGUAGCAUUGGAUCCCUUGGCACGCCAUUCGAUGAAGACCGUAGCAAAUUGCGAUAAGUGGUGUGAUAUGCGAGUCCAAAACUUAUACGUGAACCAUCGAAUUGUUGAACGCAUUGCAUCGAGCUUUGCCCAAGCACGAUACGCGUUGAUCACCGCGGUUAUGUCUUCAGAAUUUGACCAUUCUGAGCUCGGGACUCAUGGCCCUCUCGGGUCACGCCUCCUAAGAUGAAUUCGCUUCGUUCCAACGUCGCGCUCCUUGUUGUGAACUUCAAGGCGUGAUGGUCGGAAUCGGCGAGCGGUCAGGCUGGAAACGCCUAGACCAAACAUGCAUCCCUUCGGGGCUCGCGACACCAAACCACUGCGUGAUCGACGUGGGACGACGGGCUAAACUUAAGCAUAUUAAUCAGCCCAGGAAAAGAAACUAACAAGGAUUCCCCUA